rnacentral:rRNA from 1 species
UACGGGGGGGGCAAGCGUUGUUCGGAAUUACUGGGCGUAAGGGCUCGUAGGCGGCCUUCUAAGUCGAAACGUGAAAUCCCUGGGCUUAACCCAGGAACUGCGUCCGAUACUGGAAGGCUUGAAUCCGGGGAGAGGGAUGCGGAAUUCCAGGUGUAGCGGUGAAAUGCGUAGAUAUCUGGAGGAACACCGGUGGCGAAGGCGGCAUCCUGGACCGGUAUUGACGCUGAGGCGCGAAAGCC